rnacentral:rRNA from 1 species
GAUGAACGCUGGCGGCGUGCCUAACACAUGCAAGUCGAGCGAAUGAAGUUCCUUCGGGAAUGGAUUUAGCGGCGGACGGGUGAGUAACACGUGGGCAACCUGCCUCAUAGAGGGGAAUAGCCUUCCGAAAGGGAGAUUAAUACCGCAUAAGAUUGUAGUAUCGCAUGAUACAGCAAUUAAAGGAGCAAUCCGCUAUGAGAUGGGCCCGCGGCGCAUUAGCUAGUUGGUGAGGUAACGGCUCACCAAGGCGACGAUGCGUAGCCGACCUGAGAGGGUGAUCGGCCACAGUGGGACUGAGACACGGCCCAGACUCCUACGGGAGGCAGCAGUGGGGAAUAUUGCACAAUGGGGGAAACCCUGAUGCAGCAACGCCGCGUGAGUGAUGACGGCCUUCGGGUUGUAAAGCUCUGUCUUCAGGGACGAUAAUGACGGUACCUGAGGAGGAAGCCACGGCUAACUACGUG